AACGUCGCUUAAUUAGGAGGUUUAAGACACGUCUCUUGAGACAUUUGUCUGUCAAACGGACGUCUCUUUCUCGAAAGCAGUCUCUUUUCACUUCUCCGAUCUUCCUCUUGAACAGAUCAAUCGAAACAUAGAGACUGUACCCUAUUGAACAGAGCAAUCGAAGCAGUCUCUUUCUCUUCCCUUCUCUGAUCUGUCAUCGAACUUUCUGGAUCAAACAAGAAAAUCUCUAUUAAGCGAUGGCGAAGAAGAUUGGAGUGACGAUGGAAGUCGGAAACGAUGGUGUUGUUGUGAUCACCAUUUCGAAUCCUCCUGUUAACUCUCUGGCCAGCCCAAUUAUUUCUGGGUUGAAGGAGAAGUUUCAAGAUGCGAAUCAGAAGAGUGAUUUCAAGGCCAUCGUCUUGACAGUUUUGCGGAUGGAGCUUGAUGUUCAACAGUUCUUACAGAGCCCUGAGUAGCAGCAGUUCGAGUUCCAGCGUUUUCCUACUUCCGCCUCACCAAGAUUCAUUUGACAGGAGCCAACCAUGUCUUUUGAUCUAAUUAGCUUGAAAUGGUAAAGUGUGUUCUUGUGUUUUUCUUCUUCAGUAUAGAAUAUGUGUUUUUCUGCAAAUUGGAUGCAUAACUUUGGUUGGCUCCUGUCAAAUGUUUGGUCUUGUUUUUUUAAGCAACAAAAAACAACAUUUUUUUAAGAACUCCUAAACAAGAAACUACCAUUGGAGGGUAUGAAUCAAAGUGUUUCUUAAACAAGGUUUUUAAUUACAUUUAAUUAGUAAAUUAUUCCUUAAGAGACCCUAUGGAGUUUGUGGGUUAAUCAUGUUCUUG